ensembl:snoRNA
CCUGUGUGAUGAUAAGCAAAUGCUGACUGAAUAUGAAGGUCUUAAUUAGCUCUAUCUGAUGU